GACUCAUUAAUUGAUUCAGUUAAUUAGCAACUCUUUCUUAUUUUCCCAUUAGUGUAGUUAAUUGAAACCAUUUGUCAUCGUUUCCAGUAAUUCUCCUAAUUUGUUAAUGUUUCUAUUUAACCGUUUCCAUUUUUAAAAUGACCAUUGAAUGAAUUGAUAAAAUCUUCUGAUGAAAUUUGCUUGAUGAACCUUUUCAUUUCAAGUAUCAUUCAAGUUAAGUGUUAUUUUUAAUCAUGAAGAAUUGAAAUUUUUACAUUUUGUUUUACAUUUAAAUUUAAUGAUUACAGUUAAUUAAUCAUUAAUCCUACAAUUACAAGAUAAAAAUAGCCAUCAGCUUUCCAGAUCAAUAGCUAAUAUUUAGAUACACCAUUGAAUGUGAAUUAUGAUUAAGUUAAGAUUUUGUUAUUAAGAAUAGCUAUCAAAAGGAAAAACAUCUUCAAUCAUUACAAGGUCUUAUAGCUGAGCCUGGAUGAUUGUAAAUUGGUGGACUUGAGGCAACCAGCAGUGUAAAUGUAUUUACCUAGAAGAGAUUGGUGUUAAGCUGUAACGAAUUACAUUUGAUUGUUAAAUUGGAUCGUCUGGACACGACUUUACAUUAGGUAAAGUCAAUAUUAACCUGAACAAACAAAAUCUAAAAUUGGACUUGUAGCCAUAUCCAGCCAAGCACCAUAUCAUUUCAAGGAAAACUUGAAACUGGACAUUGUUGAUUCUCAUUAAACUGAAAUUACCACCAACCAGGAAUGAGCUGAAAAAACAAUUUAACUUGUUUCUUUUCCCAUGAAUAUGAGCAAGGUGAAAAAGAAGGGGAAAAGUCAGCGAGUUAAUUGUUAUUACUGUCCAUUACAAUGGUUUAGCACCGUUUUCAACGGAUUAGCAAACUCGCCUGUUAACUGGUUUACAUUCAUACUCACCAUUAUACCUGGUUACAUUACUUCGGCCAUUCAACAAGCUCACACCUUUUUGGUUUCAAUUGUAAUCCAGUUAGUGAAUUAUUGUGGUUUUUUUGACCAGAAAAGGACUCAUUAAGACCACCAAUUUGAGCCAAUUCUGCUAUAAGAAGAAGCAGAAAGCGUAUAAAAAGGUGAUUUUAACCUUUUCUUGCAUUUCAAUGUCUUCAAUUAUCAGCCAGAAAAAUGUGUGUCAGUAAAUUGAAUUGACCAUUGUGAUAACUGUUAGUUGAAAGUGUACAGUUAAUGGUCAACUCUUUCAAUUAAGCUUAAUUGUCGAAUUUUUCGGUUACCACAAAAUUUGGAUAUUUUUUCAUUCAACAUUAGGCAAGAAAUUGAAGGUAAAUUUGGCAAAUGAUUAACCACAUCAAUAUAAGAAGUUUUUUUUCCACCGCCAAUCGCAACAACAACAAAUUUAUUCCUUGGUUCCUUGAUUUUCGCAUAUUAAUCAAUGAGAAAAUGUAACUUAUUUGGAUAAACUUGGCUGAUUGAAAAAUGUAAACUAAAAUCGCAAUCUCCCGAGUAUUCAUUUUAUAUCAUCACUACCAUCAUCAUUCAUUAACUAUUUCAUCUCUACUUUGGGUGGUUAAACAAAGUGAAAUUGGUUUAAAUAAAAGGAUGAAAGGCUGCUAAAGGGAUGCAAAAAGGAUGCUGAUAAGUCAUAUCAUGGGUGAUGAAGGAGGAAGCAAAAAAAACAUGGAAAACACACAACAAAAAAUCAAAGCAUUUCUAAUAGAUGAUACAUCUUCAAUACAUUUGGUUGUUGUUUAUUAAUAUAUGGUUUCACCUUUAACCUACUCUCAAAGUCUUUAACCAUCUUGAUAAAGUAUAAAUGAGUGUAAGGUGAGAGAGGGGAACAGAAUCAUCACCUCACCAGAAUUAAUCGCUUGGGAAUCAUUCAUUGUAACUGUCAUUUUUUGUUGGUUCCUCUGGAUUCACACCAAUCAAGUAUUAUCAUCAUCAAGAUAUUUAAAGUAAAAGAGGAACAUCGUUAACAUUGUUUUCCUUCUUACCAACUUUGAUUUCAUUUUACUCAUCAUCAUCUCUCUUCUUCUCUUUUCAUUUCGUUAUUCAUUAACUUUUUCUCAUUUUUUCUCUUCCAUUUCUCACCCAUUUCGCAGGCAACUGGAUUGACUGUACAUAAAUCCAUUAUUAGCUAUCCAUCUGAUACUUUUCAAAUUGAACAACUAACACUAAAAAAUGAUGGACAUCAAUUGUUCUUUGAUUACUUUUGAUUGGUUUUCUUGUAACCCUUUUGUAGACUAGAUUCAUAUCUUUGAAACCAUCCAAGAUAAGGAGUAAAAAGAAGAAAGAUUAAGUAGCUUGAAGGAAACAGUGAAUGUGGCCUUUGAAUGUUUUGCCCUUAUUAUGGUCACUAUUUCAACAUAAAAUGAGUCCAAUUGAAGGGAAUUUUGAGUUUUUUUUAAUUUUGUGACAUGCAAAGCUUUCCAAAGCUGUUAAGGCUUGUAAAAUGAUGGAUCCAUACUCUGAAUUGAUGAGAAAGAAGAAAAAGGAAAAUGAAGAAAUUAUUUUUUUUCACAUGCUUAAUACGUAAUAACGUAUUACAAAUGAGAAUCUGAUUGUUUUGUAGCUAUUAUGAGCAAUGAUUGAAGUUAUCGAGCAAAGUUCCAAAGAUGGAGGAAUAAGCAAUGGUGGAUCCAUUUGUGGUGAAACAGAUAAGGUCAUCAUAAUAUUACAAAAAUGGCGUACAUGAAAGACAAGAUCGGAAUCUGGAAUAUUCAAUAUUCAACUUUCAACUGUGGAAUAUUGCGUGAGAAAAUUAAUGAUCUAACUAUGUCCAAUCAUGUGAACGGGCCCAGUAAAAAAAAGAUGAUCACUUGGAUACUAUUAUUUAUUUUAUGAAAAGGUAAACUAAUAACGUUUACCUGGAAUAUAUUGUGGGAAAAUCACGAGCCUUAUUUGUGUAUCCAUCAGAAGAAAAACGUAGCAAAAAGAAAGGCAAUGAUGAUGUUUUGUGGGCUAUCUUCCAAAAAAAGAGAGAGAGAGAUGAACACUAAAAACUUGUCCAAUGGUGGGAAAAUACCUUAACGCCUUAUGAAAUGGGAAGUUACAAAGAGAUGUUGAUUUUUUGCUGUUUUUUCUUGCUUCACUCUCCUUCUUUUCAAAUCAAGUAAUGUUAUUGUUAUUAUGUUAUACCUUUUCAUCAUCAUCUUUUAACCUUAUCAUUCAAAUUUACGUCUCUUCAUUUUUGCAUGUUUUCAUGUAUUGUAUUGUACUUAUCAUAUUAUUUGUCAGGCGUUAGAAGUCUUUAAAUUAUUAUCAAAAGAUGAUGAUGAGGUUGUGUGUUUGUGUGUUGUGUUGUGUUUUUAUCUUGGUUGAGGGAGGAGGAGAAGGAGGAUUUAAAAACAAAGCUAAACAAGAAAAAAAUGUUCAUCUUUUAUCUGACCAUUAUUACAGGUUAGUUUUUUACCAAAGAGGACAAGAUUUUGUGCUUUUCUGUCUCUGAUUGUUGUUGAAAAUUAAGUCUAACAAGUGGACCUCCUUGCAUGCCAACAGAAAUGGCUUUACAUCAUAAUCAUUCAAGUGUAUUUUUUGAUGGUAUCGAGGCUUAAAUCAUCAACAGGAGCUGUUCAAAUAACUAUAUGUAAAUUGAGUUAUUAAAUGUAUUAUUCACGUUUACUGGAAUCAUAAUAACUUCAAUCUGGUCUCAAAUAUUGAGUAAUUAAUUUGUAAAAUGCACUUAUUCUUGAAUUGUUCAUGAAUACGGUAAGACUAGAUUCAAUGGGGGGAAAUAUAAGCAACUCUUGUUUGAUUUGAUGAUGACGAUGAUGUUAAUGUUGGUAAUAAUAUUCAAGUUAAAGUAAAGGUUUAAGUUUUUGAUUUACUUUCUUCUUCUUUUGCCAAAUUUUUACUUCCUUUUCUUGCAAGUGUCUAAUGGGUUUCUCUGCUUUCUCUUACAGUUAAUAUCGAUUGGAAAGUGUAUUUCAAAGCUGUUUACUUUUACAAUGGAUCCAAGAUGAAUUUGGCGCAAAACUGGGCCAUCAAAUUGUCUCAUCGUUAAACGUCUCAGGAACAAAAAAAUGCUCUGAUCUUUUCUUUGGGGUUAAAUGUUAACGUUGAAGGUCCACAAAAUAUCUUGAGAUGUCAAGGCUGCAGAUGAAAAGACGCUUCUCUUACUUGCUCCAACGUCUUUAACAGUUUCUUUUGUUGUCCCAUUUGCUUGAAAGUCACAAAGAAAGAGCCUUUAAGGUCAAAAUUGAGUGAUAACAUGUUGACCUUUACCAAGACGAAAUAACAAGUAUUCAAAGCAGUGGCUUUUUUGUGUAAAAUUUUUCUCUUUUUUUUCUCUUGCUAAAGGCUGAUCUCUUUGCGCUGUUGAGAGGCCAAAAAUAAGGAACCAUUAUGGAUAGUGAAAGCGUAACACCUUUAACCUUAUUUUUCUUUGCCUGGUAACAUAGUGGUUGGCAGUUGAGUUUACAAGGUUGAUUAAAAUUUAAAUAAAAAAGGUCAAUGGUCACUAUGUGUGGGUUAACUUUCCAAAAAUAGACAAGUGAAGGUGCUGUUUGAAGAUGGUUGUUAAUGUGAAAAAUGGCAAGUCUGUGAAGCAUCUCAUUAGAUCGUAUUGUAACUCAAGCAAUCAAGUAUCAAGUCAAGCUCUGAUUAAAUAUUAACUCAUCAUUAA